AGUGAACGCUGGCGGUAGGCCUAACACAUGCAAGUCGAACGGCAGCACAGUAAGAGCUUGCUCUUACGGGUGGCGAGUGGCGGACGGGUGAGGAAUACAUCGGAAUCUACUUUUUCGUGGGGGAUAACGUAGGGAAACUUACGCUAAUACCGCAUACGACCUACGGGUGAAAGCAGGGGAUCUUCGGACCUUGCGCGAUUGAAUGAGCCGAUGUCGGAUUAGCUAGUUGGCGGGGUAAAGGCCCACCAAGGCGACGAUCCGUAGCUGGUCUGAGAGGAUGAUCAGCAACACUGGAACUGAGACACGCUCCCGACACCUACGGGAGGCAGCAGUGGGGAAUAUUGGACAAUGGGCGCAAGCCUGACCCAGCCAUACCGCGUGGGUGAAGAAGGCCUUCGGGUUGUAAAGCCCUUUUGUUGGGAAAGAAAAGCAGCAGGUUAAUACCCCGAUGUUCUGACGGUACCCCAAGAAUAAGCACCGGCUAACUUCGUG
rnacentral:rRNA from 1 species